GAAUUUUGGACAAUGGGCGCAAGCCUGAUCCAGCCAUGCCGCGUGUCUGAAGAAGGCCUUCGGGUUGUAAAGGACUUUUGUCAGGGAAGAAAAGGACAGGGUUAAUACCCCUGUCUGAUGACGGUACCUGAAGAAUAAGCACCGGCUAACUACGUGCCAGCAGCCGCGGUAAUACGUAGGGUGCGAGCGUUAAUCGGAAUUACUGGGCGUAAAGCGAGCGCAGACGGUUACUUAAGCAGGAUGUGAAAUCCCCGGGCUCAACCUGGGAACUGCGUUCUGAACUGGGUGACUAGAGUGUGUCAGAGGGAGGUAGAAUUCCACGUGUAGCAGUGAAAUGCGUAGAGAUGUGGAGGAAUACCGAUGGCGAAGGCAGCCUCCUGGGAUAACACUGACGUUCAUGCUCGAAAGCGUGGGUAGCAAACAG
rnacentral:rRNA from 1 species